AGAGUUCACUCUUCCUCUCUCAAACUGUACCAAAUCAGAAUCCCCUCCCCUUUUUCAGAACAACAACACCUAAACCGUACAGAAGCAUCACGAAAUAACGCCGGUGAUGGAUUUUCAAACAAUGACAAAUAAAUAAUGGUAAAUAAUCGAACGCAUCAUGCAUAAAGAGAAAGUGAUAACCUGUGAAUCCGCGGACGCGACGUCGACUUGGUCGAUUUGGCCUUCCUCUGAACUGCCUCCGCCUCCUUUUCUUUGCCGUCGUCCCUUCAGCUUAGGGUUUCAAACGGUACUCAAAAGUCCAAAGAAGAAAAAUUCCAGAAGUGUUUUUUGGUGCUCAGAACCGAGUUGUCCUGUUUGAUGCUAUUUUCCGGAAACGUGAAAAAUUACUGAAGACUCAAGAGUGGUUUGGUUCCGGUGUUGAUCACAGCUCAGGUUUUAGGUUCGGUUGACAUGGUUGCAGAGGAGCAGGUUGUAAUUUUGGUGAAAUUCGACGCUUCGGUUGUGUCAUUAGCAGCAAGAUGAACAAGAUGGAUUGCUUCUCGUUGAUGAGAACGAACUUGUUCUUCGGCGUGAUCAUUCAUCGUAUUGAACUUAGCAGCCAUAGCAAGCAGUUUAGGAAAGCACGGUUGGCUUUAGACAGUGAACCUUCCAUGUGUCUCAUUUUCUGCAGAGCAUUCCUUGACAGAUAAGUUGAUCCUUAAUCUCCAAAACUGUCUGUCUGAUAGCGUGAAAUAUAAUGAUGUUCUUAUUGUCAAACCAGAUUGCUUUUCAACAACUUUAAUAAUAUUCUCAACUUUCUUUUUUGAAGGGAGCUUGUAUAUUCCUUGGAGAAAGUCAUUUUUGUGGAUGCUGAUCAGAUUAUCAGGACUGACAUGGGAGAACUCUAUGGCAUGGAUUUAAAAGGAAGACCUUUGGCAUAUAUUCCAUUUUGUGAUAACAAUAAGGAUAUGGAUGGAUAUUGUUUUUUGUUUGCCACGUCUGGGACUCUUUCAUGGAUGAUCAAAGAUGGUUUUUCUCAUAGCAGGUUUUGGUUUACAGCAUGUGCAGCCCUUGCACAAGAAAGAUACAAGUCAAUGCAGCUCUCAAGAAGUUCUAGAUGCCUACAAACAACAGUAAAAAGGGGCGCAUCUUAGCCAGAUCAACCAUAAAUCGUAGAACAGAAGUUGCAGCCACAAGGUUCGUCUCGUCACAAUUUCAGCAUUAACACAAUGUUCUAUUUUACUCCUAGGCUCACAAGGGGCGGUCGGACGGACUUGAAGCCAAAGUAGCAAAAAUCAUGCCUCGUAGUUCAUAUCAUGCCGACAUUUACUUACGGAGGACAUACUGAGUUUGGUUUGUGAGCAUAAAGGUUGGAAGCACCUGCUGGCAUGUCCUUUUGCUAUGAGAAGUAUCACCAUCAUAUAUACCAAUAUUUAAGUCGGCAUCAAAUUCUUUUGUCACGUGUAACAAAGACCUUAGUUGAUCUUGAGCUAAUGCCUUUUGUUGGAAAUAUGUACAACGCACACGAGGAUGAAUUCUUAAGCAACUCUUCUAGAACAAGCAGGUCGUAGCAAACAGAUUUGCCACUUGACGUCAUUGUAGCCACAACAACAUUGUUUCAUCAAAAUUUUCUCUACCAACCGCAGCAUCUCUCUCUGCAGUAUUUUUGCAAGCUGUUUCUGUAAUCAUAAUAGUAAUAAUAAUCUUCACAUUCCAUCAUUAUCCAUUGGAAGGUCCAUCAAUCUUCCUCCUUUUAGUAUUUGGACUAUGUCAUGUAGCAUAAAAGCUAGUGUAGGAUUGGGACCUUUUUGUAAGAACAACAUGUAAUGUCACAUUUUAGUAUCAAUGCUUAUUCUCAUGGAUAAAUACUAGCAAUGUAUUGAUAUGGAAAUGGAAUUGUUUGUCCUUUUGGAA